rnacentral:rRNA from 1 species
GAUAAACGCUGGCGGCGUGCUUAACACAUGCAAGUCGAACGAAGUUUUUCCUUCGGGAGAAACUUAGUGGCGGACGGGUGAGUAACGCGUGGGUAACCUGCCCUGUACAGGGGGACAACAGCUGGAAACGGCUGCUAAUACCGCAUAAGCACUUAGCACUGCAUGGUGCAUAGGGAAAAGGAGCAAUCCGGUACAGGAUGGACCCGCGUCCGAUUAGCCAGUUGGCAGGGUAACGGCCUACCAAAGCGACGAUCAGUAGCCGAUCUGAGAGGAUGUACGGCCACAUUGGGACUGAGACACGGCCCAGACUCCUACGGGAGGCAGCAGUGGGGAAUAUUGCACAAUGGAGGAAACUCUGAUGCAGCGACGCCGCGUGAGUGAAGAAGUAUUUCGGUAUGUAAAGCUCUAUCAGCAGGGAAGAAAAUGACGGUACCUGACUAAGAAGCACCGGCUAAAUACGUG